CCUACGGGAGGCUGCAGUGGGGAAUAUUGGGCAAUGGGCGCAAGCCUGACCCAGCAACGCCGCGUGAAGGAAGAAGGCUUUCGGGUUGUAAACUUCUUUUCUCAGGGUCGACGCAAGUGACGGUACCUGAGGAAUAAGCCACGGCUAACUACGUGCCAGCAGUCGCGGUAAUACGUAGGUGGACAGCGUUAUCCGGAUUUAUUGGGUGUAAAGGGCGUGUAGGCGGGAGGGCAAGUCAGAUGUGAAAACUCAGGGUUCAACCCGGAGCCUGAAUUUGACACGGUGUUUCUUGAGGGCUGGGUAGGCAAUCGGAAUUCCGUGUGUAGCGGUGAAAUGCGUAGAUAUACGGAGGAACACCAGUGGCGAAGGCAGAUUGCUGGACAGUAACUGACGCUGAGGCGCGAAAGCGUGGGUAGCAAACAGGAUUAGAUACCCCAGUAGUC
rnacentral:rRNA from 1 species